ACGCGCGGAACCUUACCAGGUCUUGACAUCCUCUGACACUCCUAGAGAUAGGACGUUCCCCUUCGGGGGACAGAGUGACAGGUGGUGCAUGGUUGUCGUCAGCUCGUGUCGUGAGAUGUUGGGUUAAGUCCCGCAACGAGCGCAACCCUUGAUCUUAGUUGCCAGCAUUAAGUUGGGCACUCUAAGGUGACUGCCGGUGACAAACCGGAGGAAGGUGGGGAUGACGUCAAAUCAUCAUGCCCCUUAUGACCUGGGCUACACACGUGCUACAAUGGAUGGUACAAAGGGCAGCAAAACCGCGAGGUCGAGCAAAUCCCAUAAAACCAUUCUCAGUUCGGAUUGUAGGCUGCAACUCGCCUACAUGAAGCUGGAAUCGCUAGUAAUCGCGGAUCAGCAUGCCGCGGUGAAUACGUUCCCGGGCCUUGCACACACCGCCCGU
rnacentral:rRNA from 1 species